rnacentral:rRNA from 1 species
UUUUAUGGAGAGUUUGAUCCUGGCUCAGGAUGAACGCUGGCGGCGUGCCUAAUACAUGCAAGUCGAGCGAACAGACGAGGAGCUUGCUCCUCUGACGUUAGCGGCGGACGGGUGAGUAACACGUGGAUAACCUACCUAUAAGACUGGGAUAACUUCGGGAAACCGGAGCUAAUACCGGAUAAUAUAUUGAACCGCAUGGUUCAAUAGUGAAAGACGGUUUUGCUGUCACUUAUAGAUGGAUCCGCGCCGCAUUAGCUAGUUGGUAAGGUAACGGCUUACCAAGGCAACGAUGCGUAGCCGACCUGAGAGGGUGAUCGGCCACACUGGAACUGAGACACGGUCCAGACUCCUACGGGAGGCAGCAGUAGGGAAUCUUCCGCAAUGGGCGAAAGCCUGACGGAGCAACGCCGCGUGAGUGAUGAAGGUCUUCGGAUCGUAAAACUCUGUUAUUAGGGAAGAACAAAUGUGUAAGUAACUAUGCACGUCUUGACGGUACCUAAUCAGAAAGCCACGGCUAACUACGUGCCAGCAGCCGCGGUAAUACGUAGGUGGCAAGCGUUAUCCGGAAUUAUUGGGCGUAAAGCGCGCGUAGGCGGUUUUUUAAGUCUGAUGUGAAAGCCCACGGCUCAACCGUGGAGGGUCAUUGGAAACUGGAAAACUUGAGUGCAGAAGAGGAAAGUGGAAUUCCAUGUGUAGCGGUGAAAUGCGCAGAGAUAUGGAGGAACACCAGUGGCGAAGGCGACUUUCUGGUCUGUAACUGACGCUGAUGUGCGAAAGCGUGGGGAUCAAACAGGAUUAGAUACCCUGGUAGUCCACGCCGUAAACGAUGAGUGCUAAGUGUUAGGGGGUUUCCGCCCCUUAGUGCUGCAGCUAACGCAUUAAGCACUCCGCCUGGGGAGUACGACCGCAAGGUUGAAAC